UUUGAUGGCGACCGGCGCACGGGUGAGUAACACGUAUCCAACCUGCCGAUGACUCGGGGAUAGCCUUUCGAAAGAAAGAUUAAUACCCGAUGGCAUAGUUCUUCCGCAUGGUAGAACUAUUAAAGAAUUUCGGUUAUCGAUGGGGAUGCGUUCCAUUAGUUUGUUGGCGGGGUAACGGCCCACCAAGACUACGAUGGAUAGGGGUUCUGAGAGGAAGGUCCCCCACAUUGGAACUGAGACACGGUCCAA
rnacentral:rRNA from 1 species